rnacentral:lncRNA from 1 species
CCAAGGGAAUAAAAACUUAUUGCAUCCGACGUAGGUAACAUAGACUGAAACUUCUUGCUAGUCAUUUUCUACUGAUAAUGACAUGCUCACGUUCCUCUUCAGUGCGGGUUCAGUUGAAUUACACUCCUUGCACAAUUUCACAACUCUCUACCAGACUUGAUGGAACAUUUUCGACGGUUUCUUUAGUAAAGUGUAUAAUGUUGUUUUUACCUCUAUGAUAGAGUUUGUGGGUUUUAUGUAGUAUUUCUUCCAAAUCUUGUUCACUUUUUAAGCCAACAUACUAUGCUUUGGGUACUCUUCUUAGGUUGUCAGUUAUGUUUAUCUCGGUUAUCACCCAUUCAUGUUCCAUGUUGCAUUUCGGAUAUCCUAACCACUCCAGGUUUCUCCUGCCAUGCUGACACCCCCGAAUACCACAUUUAAUUCAGCAAGAUUUAUGUGAGUUCCAUCGUUCUUUUUUCUUAUCCAAGCUCCAUCCUCAACUUUCCUGCCAUCUCUUCCUUUUGCUACGCCAUAGGCUAUUGAACCUGCAUCACAUCACACUUCCAAUGUCCCACUUAUGUUCACCCUCCAACCUCCACGCACGGGGUCCGAGACUCGCUAUUUUUUUAGUAAUAUCCCGUAAUAUUUCAAUGGUGGCGCCCUAUUUCCUCGUUCCAUGGGCCCUCUCCGCGCACUCUCUUCACAACACUUGAGGCUACUCUUAUCCACGUGCUUAUGUUGAGGGAAAGUCCUGAAAUAAAAGAAAGCCGUACCAGUUUGGACCUGUCUAACAGACCCAUUAGACAGGUUAGGUUAUUUGUCUCCGCCAGAAAAACCUCUAUCGACUCUCCCGGACUCCAUCUUCUAACUCUAAUUGUAUCGUAGACAGAGAACGCUCUUGAGAGGAUGAAAGAUUUCUAUACUGUCACCCUUCUCCUUCUCAGCAAGUUGAUUGUUUACUGAAAAGGCUCUUCCAUCCAAAAACAACGGAACAAAUCCUCCCAUGUCUUCUAUCUUUGGAAGAUCCUUGGCCAACUCUGCCUGUCGAACCCAAACAUUGACGUCUACAGACGUACAUACCUGUCAAAUCUCGGUAUCACAUCCAUUAUAUUUAAUGUAGUCAUGGCCGUGAUAGCUUGUAGCUUCUUUCUCCCGUUUAUAAAUAAUACACAGACGUUAGCUAUUCAGCUCCUUAUAUUCAAGUGUAUAUAUAUAUUAUACUACAGCGUGCUGCGCCCAAUCCCAUCACUUCCCUCACAGCACCAUUCCCAUGCGAGCUCGUACUGUCGGAGCCAGAUGUUGUAACCCUUAAAGCACUUUAUAAUUGAAGCAAUAGCUUUAUAGUUUUUUAAAGUAGCGGUAAUACCCGUCACUGCCCAGAUUUUGUUAAGCAUCCAUGAACAGGAAAAGUUUGUAUUAUAAAUAUAUAGAAGAUAACUCUC